rnacentral:rRNA from 2 species
UCUUUGGAGAGUUUGAUCCUGGCUCAGGACGAACGCUGGCGGCGUGCCUAAUACAUGCAAGUCGAGCGGACCGAACGAGGGCUUG